UACGUAGGGUGCAAGCGUUAAUCGGAAUUACUGGGCGUAAAGCGUGCGCAGGCGGUUUUGUAAGACAGUUGUGAAAUCCCCGGGCUCAACCUGGGAACUGCAUCUGUGACUGCAUCGCUGGAGUGCGGCAGAGGGGGAUGGAAUUCCGCGUGUAGCAGUGAAAUGCGUAGAUAUGCGGAGGAACACCGAUGGCGAAGGCAAUCCCCUGGGCCUGCACUGACGCUCAUGCACGAAAGCGUGGGGAGCAAACAGG
rnacentral:rRNA from 2 species